CUAAAAGUUCAGUCCUAACUUUACUAUUAAUUCUAACUAAACUUACACAUGCAAGUCUCAGCCCACCAGUGACAACCCCCGCCGCGCGGAGCCGAUAUCAGGCACAACACCUAUGUUAGCCCACUACAUCUAGCCCAGCCACACCCCCAAGGGCACGCAGCAGCGAUUAACCUUAACAAUAAGCGCAAGCUUGACCUAGUUAUAGUUAAAAGAGUUGGUAAAUCUUGUGCCAGCCACCGCGGUUAAACAAGAAGCCCAAAUUAAUAGCCAUUCGGCGUAAAGUGUGAUCAAGAAACAUCGACCCUAUAAGACUAAAAAUUCACCCGGCUGUAGUACGCCUCAGUGAGAUAACACACACACACCAUCGAAAGUGGUCUUAACAUUAACGAUUACCCCACAUCACGACCGCUAAAACACAAACUGGGAUUAGAUACCCCACUAUGCUUAGCCACAAAACUUGACCAGUCACUAUAACAUCUGCCAGAGUACUACGAGCAGCAGCUUAAAACUCAAAGGACUUGGCGGUGCCUCAAACCCACCCAGAGGAGCCUGUUCUAUAAUCGAUAACCCACGUUUUACCUCACCACCCUUAGUAAUCAGCCUAUAUACCCCCGUCGCCAGUCAACCUCCUGAGAGAACUACCAUUGGCAAAACUACAGCCCGCAAGCACGUCAGGUCAAGGUGUAGCACAUAAGGUGGAAAGAAAUGGGCUACAUUUUCUUCCGCAAGAAACCACGGAUAAUAUAAUGAAAAAUAAUUUUAAGGCGGAUUUGGCAGUAAGAAGAAAUCAUCAUAUUCUUCUUAAUUUGGCUCUGAGGCGCGCACACACCGCCCGUCACCACCUCUCAUCGAUGAUCAAACCACAAUAAAUAACAACAUAACAAACUUUAGAUGAGGAAAGUCGUAACAUGGUAAGCGCACUGGAAAGUGCUCUUGGAUUAAC
rnacentral:ncRNA from 1 species